UCUGCAACCAUUUACUUCACUGUUGUUUCAACGUUGAAUCAACGUUGAACAAACAACUGACGUUAUUUCAACCAAAUUUCAACGUUGAUUUUUAAGCAUUUUAUGAACCUUUUUCAACCGUUUACCAUUCACCGUUGUUUCAACGUUGAACAAACAACUGACCUAAUUUCAACCAAAUUUCAACGUUGAAGGUCGGUCAUAUGCCCGCUGGGUUGUAACUGCUGCCAAAUAUCGUUCAGACCUGGGCUCAUCUUAUUAUCAGAUGAUUGCUGCGCUUGUUAUCAUUACGGUAUAUUACCAAAACCAAAUCAUAUCUUCUUUAAAGCGUUUUACACGCCCAAUAAGUUGUCCGAUACAUUUUGCAUGGCAUAUUAUUUUCACCACUUCAGAUGCAUUACAUGCAAUAUAAGUUUCCAAAACUAUGGUAUGACUUUUGUGUCAAUAUUAUUCAAUUAAACAUACAGUAUUUGAAAGCAAAACUAUUAAAUUGUUGUAAAAAAAAUUUAUUCGCAUUUAAAAAAUGUUAUCUUAAAAUUAUUUUAGUUACAAAAUACAGUAAUUGUUAACCAAACUUUUUGCAAUAUGAAUUUUUCUUUGAGUAGUUUCAUCGCGUGCCCCUACAUUUUGCUCUCUGCUACGCUGUUUUUGUUUGCGGAUCAAAAAUCUUUGCUUUUGAGUCAAAAAGUUUUGGAUGCAAGUUACAAGCGUCUCAGUGGGCGGGAUCAACCUAGUUGAAUGAAAGACCCGUUUCUAUUGGCCACUACUGUCACCAUUUGGCCACGCCUACCACCGAAGUCUGCCACCGAGGAGAGCGAUGCUGCGCUAUGGAGAACGGCAUUGUUUGUAAGAUGAUUCUUCACUAAAGGUUACAUUGAAGUCAGGCAAUGACAGGAAGGAUGGCUGGGGAUUCCAAGAUCUGAUAAAAAAGUUACAUGAAGAUACUUGGAGUACUCAUGGGACCAAAGAGCUAUUACACCAGCUCCAGUCUGGAUCCUGUCUCUAUCAGAUGACCCUACACAUAAGGAAAGUUGACAUCGGCCAUCACGAGGACUUCAAAACUGUUCAAAGCGCUAUACAAAUAAAUGUGAACAAAAUUGAAUUGUUUGAAGUCAACAGCAGAGAUGAGGAUGCCACACAAUGCAUCCUCUCCACAACACAUCUUUCUUGGCCUCUCUGAUUACAAUCCUCCCAUUCAUUCCUGCAACACAAGAAGCACAAAUUACUUUUUAUGUCACAAAUCACAGUUUGUCAUUAAAGUCUGGUCUACUGUACUUGCUACUUUUAAAAGAUCUUCAUAUCAAAAUGUCUUAAAUACUGGAUUUUAUUAAUUAAUUUUGUUUAGAUACCAAUAUAUGUAUUUACAUUUACACAUUUUUUUCAUAUUCAUUCAUUUUAUGCUUAACUAUUUUGCUUGUUGUUUCAUUACUGCAGAUUAUUUAUGUUGGGUGAUGCAUUGUCUUCAUAAGUAGAUAUAAGUAUAUCAGUGGUCUCCUCUGGCUAAAGAUUUUUUAUAAUGUCAUAAGACAAAGUAGCAUUGUGUAAUAUUUUAUAUGUUGUUUAAAAUAUGUUACAAGACGAGUCAGACAGACCAUUGACAGUGCAGCUAAGAUUAUUCAAUAAACCAUUUUUAUUUUAUUCUUUAUCAUUUUGUCCCCUGCCUGAUGCUCUCAUCUCUGUACCUUGUGGUUGAGUAAAAGCAUUAACUCACCACAGAGUUUUCUAUCUUUGAGCAAUGGACAAAGUCAUUUUCCUGACUAAGAGAGGUCUAGUAAAACGAAGAACUAGUGAACUGGACUUGCUUCUUGUAUCGGUUUAAUCUAACAUUUUUGGCAUUUAAUCUAACAUUUUUGGCAUAGUCAUAUUUGGAUCUAUCAAUGUCAUUAAAUGCCCACAUGAUCUUACUCUAUUAUAUGUCAUAUCUGCUAUGCUAGAAUUAAUUGUAUAAAAUAAUUGUAUAAUUUAUCAUUUCUGUUCAAAAAAAGAAAUACUAAUUUAGUAGUCAAUUACGCAAAAAUAUUCAGCCUGCAACAGCAAACUUGCACGAUUGCGUCACAAUAUGAGUAAAUUUUAUUUCCGUAUGCAGUAAGUGAUUAACUUACUAAUAAAAGCGUGGUAUUAAUAUCUGUGUAUGACUUAACGUUAGCUGGAUAAAGCAAACUCUGGACGCAAUAGCGUCCGGAAGCUAAUGCUAGUAACUAACGUUG